UGGUCAAGUUAUUAAGGGUGCAGGGCGGAUGCCUUGGCACCGGGAGCCGAUGAAGGACGUGAUAAGCUGCGAUAAGCUAUGGGGAGUUGCACGUAAACUUUGAUCCAUAGAUUUCCGAAUGAGGAAACUCACCAUGAGUAAUGUCAUGGUAUCUUCGAGUGAAUACAUAGCUCGUUGAGGGGAACUCGGGGAACUGAAACAUCUAAGUACCCGAAGGAAGAGAAAGAAAUUCGAUUCCGCUAGUAGCGGCGAGCGAACGCGGAACAGCCCAAACCUAAGAAGUUCGCUUCUUAGGGGUUGCGGACAUAUCAUCAGGAAGAGGUUAUUACAGACGAAGAGUUUUGGAAAGCUCCGCCACAGAAGGUAACAGCCCUGUAGUCGAAGUGAGAAGACUUCCGAUAUGAUCCAGAGUACCACGGGACACGUGAAACCCCGUGGGAAGCAGGAGGGACCACCCUCCAAGGCUAAAUACUACCCGGUGACCGAUAGCGCAUAGUACCGUGAGGGAAAGGUGAAAAGAACCCCGGGAGGGGAGUGAAAUAGAACCUGAAACCCUGUACUUACAAACUGUGGAAGCACAUUUCUUGUGUGACCGCGUACUUUUUGUAGAACGGGCCAACGAGUUACGUUAUGCAGCAAGGUUAAGUACUUCAAGUAUGCAGCCGCAGCGAAAGCGAGUUUUAACUGAGCGUUUAGUUGCAUGACGUAGACCCGAAACCGGGUGACCUAUCCAUGAGCAGGUUGAAGCGAAAGUAAAAUUUCGUGGAGGACCGAACCCACGAGCGUUGAAAAGCUCGGGGAUGACUUGUGGAUAGCGGUGAAAUUCCAAUCGAACCCGGAGAUAGCUGGUUCUCCCCGAAAUAGCUUUAGGGCUAGCCUCAGAUUCAGAGAUACGGAGGUAGAGCACUGAAUGUCCUAGGGGGUAUUGCACCUACCGAAGACUAUCAAACUCCGAAUGCCGUCAUCUUUUAUCUGGGAGUCAGACCGUGGGUGAUAAGAUUCACGGUCGAGAGGGCAACAGCCCAGACCGUCGGCUAAGGUCCCCAAAUGUAGGUUAAGUGGUAAAGGAUGUGGGAUUGCACAGACAACCAGGAUGUUGGCUUAGAAGCAGCCACUCAUUCAAAGAGUGCGUAAUAGCUCACUGGUCGAGUGAUCCUGCGCCGAAGAUUUCCGGGGCUAAAACCUACUACCGAAGCCACGGCAUCAUUUAUGAUGGGUAGGGGAGCUUUCUUUACUGGGCAGAAGCAUGACCGUAAGGACAUGUGGACUGUAAAGAAGUGAGAAUGUUGGCAUGAGUAGCGAGAUGUGGGUGAGAAUCCCACAGGCCGUAAACCCAAGGUUUCCAGGGGAAGGUUCGUCCUCCCUGGGUUAGUCGGGACCUAAGCCGAGGCCGAAAGGCGUAGGUGAUGGACAACAGGUUGAAAUUCCUGUACCGCCAAUAAGCGUUUGAGAAAUGGGAUGACACAGUAGGACAGGAUGAGCGUGCUGUUGGUUAUGCACGUCCAAGCACUGAGGCAGUAUCCGGAGGCAAAUCCACGGAUAUAAUGCUGGGGUGUGACGGGGAGCGAAAUUUAGUAGCGAAGCAUCUGCAUUCACACUGUCGAGAAAAGUCUCUAUCGAGUUUAAAGGCGCCCGUACCGCAAACCGACACAGGUGGGUGAGGAGAGUAUCCUAAGGCCAGCGAGAGAACUGUUGUUAAGGAACUCGGCAAAAUGACCCCGUAACUUAGGGAUAAGGGGUGCCAUCGAAAGAUGGCCGCAGAGAAUAGGCCCAAGCGACUGUUUACCAAAAACAUAGGUUUCUGCUAAGUCGCAAGACGAUGUAUAGGAGCUGACGCCUGCCCGGUGCUGGAAGGUUAAGGGGAUCUGUUAGAGCAAUCGAAGCAGUGAACUUAAGCCCCAGUAAACGGCGGCCGUAACUAUAACGGUCCUAAGGUAGCGAAAUUCCUUGUCGGGUAAGUUCCGACCCGCACGAAAGGCGUAACGAUUUGGGCACUGUCUCAACAACAGACUCGGUGAAAUUGUAAUUCCGGUGAAGAUGCCGGAUACCUGCGACAGGACGGAAAGACCCCAUGGAGCUUUACUGUAGCUUGGCAUUGGGUCUUGGUACUACAUGUACAGCAUAGGUGGGAGGCUUUGAUUCCAGGACGCCAGUUUUGGAUGAGCCACCGUUGGGAUACCACCCCUGUAGUACUGGGACUCUAACCAGAGGCCUUGAAUCAGGUCUUGGGACACUGUCAGGCGGGCAGUUUGACUGGGGCGGUCGCCUCCCAAAAGGUAACGGAGGCGCUCAAAGGUUCUCUCAGCACGGUCGGAAAUCGUGCAUAGAGUGUAAAGGCAUAAGAGAGCUUGAUUGCAAGACAUACAGGUCGAGCAAGGACGAAAGUCGGACUUAGUGAUCCGGUGGUUCUGAGUGGAAGGGCCAUCGCUCAACGGAUAAAAGCUACCCUGGGGAUAACAGGCUUAUCUCCCCCAAGAGUCCACAUCGACGGGGAGGUUUGGCACCUCGAUGUCGGCUCAUCACAUCCUGGGGCUGUAGUAGGUCCCAAGGGUUGGGCUGUUCGCCCAUUAAAGUGGUACGCGAGCUGGGUUCAGAACGUCGUGAGACAGUUCGGUCCCUAUCCGUCGCAGGCGUAGGAAAUUUGAGAGGAUCUGCCCUUAGUACGAGAGGACCGGGGUGGACGUACCGCUGGUGUACCAGUUGUCUCGCCAGAGGCAUGGCUGGGUAGCUAUGUACGGAACGGAUAAGCGCUGAAAGCAUCUAAGCGCGAAGCCAGCCUUAAGAUAAGAUUUCCCAUUCUUCGGAAGUAAGACCCCAUGAAGACUACGUGGUUGAUAGGUCGGAGGUGGAAGUGCAGUAAUGUAUGCAGCUUACCGAUACUAAUAGGUCGAGGACUUGACCAAG
rnacentral:rRNA from 1 species